rnacentral:rRNA from 1 species
AUUGAACGCUGGCGGCAUGCUUUACACAUGCAAGUCGAACGGUAACAGGCCUUCGGGUGCUGACGAGUGGCGAACGGGUGAGUAAUGCAUCGGAACGUACCCAGAGGUGGGGGAUAACGCAGCGAAAGCUGUGCUAAUACCGCAUGUGAUCUGAGGAUGAAAGCGGGGGACCGAGCAGCAAUGUUUGGCCUCGCGCCUUUGGAGCGGCCGAUGUCGGAUUAGCUAGUUGGUGGGGUAAAGGCCUACCAAGGCGACGAUCCGUAGCUGGUCUGAGAGGACGACCAGCCAAACUGGGACUGAGGAACGGCCCAGACUCCUACGGGAGGCAGCAGUGGGGAAUUUUUGAACAUGGGCGGAAGCCUGAUCCAGCAAUGCCGCGGGCGGGAAGAAGGCCUUCGGGUUGGAAACCGCUUUUGGCAGGAACGAAACGGGGGCCGCUAAUACCGGGCGCUAAUGACGGUACCUGCAGAAUAAGCACCGGCUAACUACGUG